rnacentral:rRNA from 1 species
UACAGAGGUGGCAAGCGUUGUUCGGAAUUACUGGGCGUAAAGGGCGCGUAGGCGGCCUUUCUAAGUCAGACGUGAAAUCCCCCGGCUUAACCUGGGAACUGCGUCUGAUACUGGGAGCUUGAGUAUGGGAGAGGGAUGUAGAAUUCCAGGUGUAGCGGUGAAAUGCGUAGAUAUCUGGAGGAAUACCGGUGGCGAAGGCGGCUUUCUGGACGUAACUGGACGCUGAGACGCGAAAGCGUGGGGGAGCAAACAGG